rnacentral:rRNA from 1 species
GAUGAACGCUGGCGGCGUGCUUAACACAUGCCAGUCGAACGAUGAAGCUCAGCUUGCUGGGUGGAUUAGUGGCGAACGGGUGAGUAACACGUGAGUAACCUGCCCUUAACUCUGGGAUAAGCCUGGGAAACUAGGUCUAAUACCGGAUAGGAGCGUCCACCGCAUGGUGGGUGUUGGAAAGAUUUAUCGGUUUUGGAUGGACUCGCGGCCUAUCAGCUUGUUGGUGAGGUAAUGGCUCACCAAGGCGACGACGGGUAGCCGGCCUGAGAGGGUGACCGGCCACACUGGGACUGAGACACGGCCCAGACUCCUACGGGAGGCAGCAGUGGGGAAUAUUGCACAAUGGGCGAAAGCCUGAUGCAGCGACGCCGCGUGAGGGAUGACGGCCUUCGGGUUGUAAACCUCGUUCAGUAGGGAAGAAGCGAAAGUGACGGUACCUGCAGAAGAAGCACCGGCUAACUACGUG